rnacentral:lncRNA from 1 species
UUGGCUUUGCUUGGACUUAUGGUUUGCGCAAAUUUCAUUUGGGAUCAAUAAGCUUCAAGGAUAAGCACUUGUAGUUCAUCCUUUUUUUUUUUUUCGGAUGGGACUUGCUUUUCUUCCAUCCAUCUUUUUAAUUCUCUAUUUCUGUGGCAGCAGUUUUAUGUUUUGUGUUGUUCGGGAAAGUACAUGUUGAAAUUUUGUCAAACCCUGUUGACGUACUCUAAUCACUUUGCUGCAUGGCGCAAGCAUAAACAUUGUUGUUGUUAGAGCUUGUUUACACAAAAUAAGUGUAACUUGAAAGUACAUUGUACACUAUUGAAUUUGAUUUAUCUCCAGCAAGUAUUAACAUAUGAUGUCUAUCAUGUAAUUUUUUAUAAUUAUUUUGUUUAAUUUAUUUGUGUUGUAAUAUGCAACUUAAG